rnacentral:rRNA from 1 species
GACGAACGCUGGCGGCGUGCCUAAUACAUGCAAGUAGAACGCUGAAGAGAGGAGCUUGCUCUUCUUGGAUGAGUUGCGAACGGGUGAGUAACGCGUAGGUAACCUGCCUUGUAGCGGGGGAUAACUAUUGGAAACGAUAGCUAAUACCGCAUAACAAUGGAUGACACAUGUCAUUUAUUUGAAAGGGGCAAUUGCUCCACUACAAGAUGGACCUGCGUUGAAUUAGCUAGUAGGUGAGGUAAUGGCUCACCUAGGCGACGAUACAUAGCCGACCUGAGAGGGUGAUCGGCCACACUGGGACUGAGACACGGCCCAGACUCCUACGGGAGGCAGCAGUAGGGAAUCUUCGGCAAUGGGGGCAACCCUGACCGAGCAACGCCGCGUGAGUGAAGAAGGUUUUCGGAUCGUAAAGCUCUGUUGUAAGUCAAGAACGGGUGUGAGAGUGGAAAGUUCACACUGUGACGGUAGCUUACCAGAAAGGGACGGCUAACUACGUG